AGAUCCUACCUCUCAUCAAACAUAUCCAAUCCAUCCCUCUUCACUUCUCCAAGAUCCUGGCUUCAACAGAUGAGCAACGUGUUCUCAUUACCUCAUACAAGUGAUUUCAUCCUGAUAUUUUAUAUGAUUAUUAAUUCACGUACAGUCAUCUUCUUACACCUCUUUGGGCUUCCUAUAUUAAGUGAUUCUCUGGGAUAACUAACAUUUUUUCCAUGAAAUUUGAAUUGUUCCUGUGCUUUCUCUAUAACAUUCCAAUGAGUUAUUCUCUACCACCUCCCUGAUAUAUAUUCUCCCUGGUGUAAUGUGAAGUCCAGUGAAAUGUCUGCAUUCUAAGUCACGGAAUAAGAAUGAAUUAUGUGAUCUAAAAGCUGUGUAUGCACAGCAACAUAACAAAGGGCACAUGCCUGUUUUUUUGCCCCUGUUGGCAAUGUGAAAGGAUUAUGGACUACUGGGCCAAUGGUAGAAGUGAAAAUAGUUAUACUGAAUGUGCAGAGUCUGCUGAAAAGUAAUUUUUCUUUUCUAACCAUGUGUGUGAAUUCUAGUGUCUGUGUGAGUGUAAAUACAGGAUGUAUGAUGAAAGGAUCGAUGAUGCCGUAACCAAAGUGUUUAAUCAGUGGGCCUGUAGCUUAUCAUCCAUAUGUUAAGAGUAUGAAUAAGAGUGUGAUAUGAGAUUUUACUUUUUUGUAAACAUGUUUGUUUU